rnacentral:lncRNA from 1 species
UGAUGACGGGGGCAAACUCUUUGAACUAAAAUUUAGGUUUUUUGUGAUUUUUUAUACGAGUAUCAUAACCAAGGAGUUGAGUGAGUUCUGAUGUUUGUUGGACCAUUUUUGAUGGCCUUGGGUUGCAUUGGCUGUUGGAUCAUGAAUCGGUAUGCCUGUGAAGGUACGUGCAUGAUCUGGAAAUCCUCACCGUAAGUUCGGAUCCUCUCCAUUCCCCAGCCUCAGGCGUGUUAUUCCACCCUCGCGACAUGGCCCUUCUUUACACCU